GCACCAUUAGCUCAGCUGGUAGAGCAGCGGACUCUUAAUCCGGAGGUCCAGGGUUCGAACCCCUGAUGGUGCA
rnacentral:tRNA from 2 species